GUGACGUCACUGCCCGUGCAGCCAAUGAGGAGGCGCCGUCUCGCGUGAGCUUCGACUCCGAUUUUAGAAAGAUGGCGGCGUCCUUGAGGGUCUGUGGGUGGUCGCUCCGCUCGGGACUUCGCGGAGGGAAAACUUCGUCGGCAUUCAACCUCCAGUCGACGCGCCCGGCCACCGCGGCCGCCGCGGCCUCCGUGGGGGCCUCCCCGCAGCCGCCUUCACCACCGCCUCCGACGCCCCGCAU